AGAGAUGGCCGAGCUGGCUGAAGGCGCUCGCCUGCUAAGCGAGUGUGGGUCGAAAGAUCCACCGAGGGUUCGAAUCCCUCUCUCU
rnacentral:tRNA from 1 species